AACGAACGCUGGCGGCAUGCCUAACACAUGCAAGUCGAACGGGAUCCUGGUUUCGGCCAGGUGAGAGUGGCGGACGGGUGAGUAACGCGUGGGAACCUGCCCAGUGGUGGGGGAUAACUGCGGGAAACUGCAGCUAAUACCGCAUGAGCCCGCAAGGGGAAAGAUUGAUCGCCAUUGGAGGGGCCCGCGUUCGAUUAGGUAGUUGGUGAGGUAACGGCUCACCAAGCCUACGANCGAUAGCUGGUCUGAGAGGAUGAUCAGCCACACUGGGACUGAGAUACGGCCCAGACUCCUACGGGAGGCAGCAGUGGGGAAUAUUGGACAAUGGGGGCAACCCUGAUCCAGCAAUGCCGCGUGAGUGAUGAAGGCCUCGGUUGUAAG
rnacentral:rRNA from 1 species